AUUGAACGCUGGCGGCAUGCCUAACACAUGCAAGUCGAACGGGGCAGCAAUGCCUAGCGGCGGACGGGUGAGGAAUACGUAGGAAUCUGCCCUUAAGUGGGGGAUAACCAGGGGAAACCCUGACUAAUACCGCAUGAUCUCUUCGGAGCAAAGAGGGGGACCGCAAGGCCUCUCGCUUCUGGAUGAGCCUACGUCUGAUUAGCUAGUUGGUAGGGUAAAGGCCUACCAAGGCGACGAUCAGUAACUGGUCUGAGAGGAUGAUCAGUCACACCGGAACUGAGACACGGUCCGGACUCCUACGGGAGGCAGCAGUGGGGAAUACUGGACAAUGGGCGCAAGCCUGAUCCAGCAAUGCCGCGUGUGUGAAGAAGGCCUUCGGGUUGUAAAGCACUUUAGCCUGGAAAGAAAAAACUUUGGUUAACACCCAAAGUCUUGACGGUACCAGGAGAAUAAGCACCGGCUAACUCUGUGCCAGCAGCCGCGGUAAGAC
rnacentral:rRNA from 1 species